rnacentral:rRNA from 1 species
UUGACGGGGACCCGCACAAGUAGCGGAGCAUGUGGUUUAAUUCGAAGCAACGCGAAGAACCUUACCUAAGCUUGACAUCCUUUUGACCUCUCCCUAAUCGGAGAUUUCCCUUCGGGGACAAAAGUGACAGGUGGUGCAUGGUUGUCGUCAGCUCGUGUCGUGAGAUGUUGGGUUAAGUCCCGCAACGAGCGCAACCCUUGCCUUUAGUUGCCAGCAUUAAGUUGGGCACUCUAGAGGGACUGCCAGGGAUAACCUGGAGGAAGGUGGGGAUGACGUCAAAUCAUCAUGCCCCUUAUGCUUAGGGCUACACACGUGCUACAAUGGGUGGUACAGAGGGCAGCCAAGUCGUGAGGCGGAGCUAAUCCCUUAAAGCCAUUCUCAGUUCGGAUUGUAGGCUGAAACUCGCCUACAUGAAGCUGGAGUUACUAGUAAUCGCAGAUCAGAAUGCUGCGGUGAAUGCGUUCCCGGGUCUUGUACACACCGCCCGUCACACCACGGAAGUUGGGGGCGCCCGAAGCCAGAUAGCUAACCUUUUGGAAGCGUCUGUCGAAGGUGGAAUCAAUAACUGGGGUGAAGUCGUAACAAGG